rnacentral:rRNA from 1 species
GACGAACGCUGGCGGCGUGCUUAACACAUGCAAGUCGAACGGAAAGGCCCUGCUUUUGUGGGGUGCUCGAGUGGCGAACGGGUGAGUAACACGUGAGUAACCUGCCCUUGACUUUGGGAUAACUUCAGGAAACUGGGGCUAAUACCGGAUAGGAGCUCCUGCUGCAUGGUGGGGGUUGGAAAGUUUCGGCGGUUGGGGAUGGACUCGCGGCUUAUCAGCUUGUUGGUGGGGUAGUGGCUUACCAAGGCUUUGACGGGUAGCCGGCCUGGGAGGGUGACCGGCCACAUUGGGACUGGAAUACGGCCCAGACUCCUACGGGAGGCAGCAGUGGGGAAUAUUGCACAAUGGGCGGAAGCCUGAUGCAGCAACGCCGCGUGCGGGAUGACGGCCUGCGGGUUGUAAACCGCUUUCGCCUGUGACGAAGCGUGAGUGACGGUAAUGGGUAAAGAAGCACCGGCUAACUACGUG